rnacentral:rRNA from 1 species
UUUAUUGGGCGUAAAGCGAGCGCAGGCGGUUAGAUAAGUNUGAAGUUAAAGGCUGUGGCUUAACCAUAGUAUGCUUUGGAAACUGUUUAACUUGAGUGCAGAAGGGGAGAGUGGAAUUCCAUGUGUAGCGGUGAAAUGCGUAGAUAUAUGGAGGAACACCGGUGGCGAAAGCGGCUCUCUGGUCUGUAACUGACGCUGAGGCUCGAAAGCGUGGGGAGCAANCAGGAUUAGAUACCCUGGUAGUCCACGCCGUAAACGAUGAGUGCUAGGUGUUAGGCCCUUUCCGGGGCUUAGUGCCGCAGCUAACGCAUUAAGCACUCCGCCUGGGGAGUACGACCGCAAGGUUGAAACUCAAAGGAAUUGACGGGGGCCCGCACAAGCGGUGGAGCAUGUGGUUUAAUUCGAAGCAACGCGAAGAACCUUACCAGGUCUUGACAUCCCUCUGAUCGCUCUAGAGAUAGAGUUUUCCUUCGGGACAGAGGUGACAGGUGGUGCAUGGUUGUCGUCAGCUCGUGUCGUGAGAUGUUGGGUUAAGNCNCGCAACGAGCGCAACCCCUAUUGUUAGUUGCCAUCAUUCAGUUGGGCACUCUAGCGAGACUGCCGGUAAUAAACCGGAGGAAGGUGGGGAUGACGUCAAAUCAUCAUGCCCCUUAUGACCUGGGCUACACACGUGCUACAAUGGCUGGUACAACGAGUCGCAAGCCGGUGACGGCAAGCUAAUCUCUGAAAGCCAGUCUCAGUUCGGAUUGUAGGCUGCA